AGUCCGGCUGGCCGCUCACGCGUCGGGCCCCCAUUUACUCUCGUUACUGAGGAGACACGGCUCCAGUUUUGACCCGACUACGGUUGUUUUCUUCGUGUGUACCGCGAAAUGCUGAUGACGUCCGGUUCCGCGCAGUUUUUUUCCUAUUUCGUUUCCAACCACAGUUGUGCGGUUCACAGAUUUUUCCCUUGGGAUGUGUUUUCCAUACCUCCAAGCCCACUCUCAGAGCCUUGGGGCCCCAUAAAACUUCAUGCGCAGCUGCUUUCUGGUAUUUGCAGACCUGGAAGGCUUCUCGUAUUCUUAAUUUGGGGAAGAGAGACAUAGGUUUCCUUGUACAACGGGAUGAGGAUUUAAGAGCAGAACGACACUGAUAUUUUAAAGGCGAGGGUAUUUAGAUUUGUGGAGCUGAAACUUGCCUGAAAAGGGAGACAAAAUUUGGAAGUUUGUUGUGUGCAGUUUCUGCCCCUUACCCCCGCCCUUCACUUUUAAACUGCGCAUAUAUCAACAAUAGUUACGGUUGUUGCAGCAGUCUAAAUUUGAUUAUCAGAAUUGACCCUAGGCAUGAAUUUUUUUUUAAAUAUACCAAUGUCGUGUUAUAUACACUUAUACCAUUAUGUCCAGACUUCUCUUAAGCAUAGUUCGUGGUGGGCAGUUUUGUGGUCAUUUAGGGAUGAACUUGGGUAGGGAAAGCUGAGCAUACAUAAUUUAUUUUAGGAAUGCACCAGUUCUGCCAACAUUUAUCAGAAGUCACGUUUUUAAAAAGCUAUUCUGGAACUGAAGAUGUCAUUGGUUUAUAAGAGGAAAAUGGAAGCCAAAAGCUUACACCUCAUGCUCUAUCUUUAAAAAUUAAGGUGGCAGACACAAUGAGUAGAAGGCUUUUAUGUUACCAGAAUGAAGGCUUAAAAUCUGUCAUUUUAUUGACUCGGCUUUCUUUUUAGAAAUUUCUUUAAGAUAUAAAAGCAAUGUGGAAUAUCACUCUUUCACACUCUUAAAAUAGAUUACGUUCUCUGGAACUUCUCUAAUCUGAAAUGUGUUCAAAAAGGAAAAAGAUCUUUAAAAUACGCCAGUUAGUCUAUGGUAUAAUAUUAAACACUAUUCAUCACUAGAGAAGUUAUGGUGGUAUACCCUCCCCUUUCUCAGAUGUCCACCUUAAUGCCAGAAAUGAGCGGAGUUUCCCUUUGUUGUGCAAAAUGACUGUGUCCUUGAGGGAUGUUUGGAUGCUCUUGGUAAACCGGAAUCAGCCAGAAGCAUAUCCGGUGUUAGCCUUGUUGUGUCAUCAACAUUACAACAGUGAGGAAACCCACAUAUUCCAAUGAAAGAGGAAAACUUAAAGAAGAAGUUUCCAGUGUAUUUUCUUUGAGAUAUAUUUAUUCCUAUGACCUCAGAAGAUCAGCUUUUACCGUCCAAGGUUCACUUUGCCUAAAAGCUGAUUGUUCCUGUGGAAACAGUAGCAUCGGAUGACCCUACAAACAAAGCAUUAUGACAUCAUCAGAGCCAACAACCUGGCAUGACAGAUACUAAUAAGGAAAAAAGAGGUUACAAGAAUUCUGACACUCAUCACAGUGGAUCCAAUAUCUGGUCCCUUGGGUUUCAUAUAUGUUAGAAGUAUCUUCUCAGGAGGGAAAAGUCAAUGCCAGUCAUAUCCUUUCUAGCUAUUAGAAAUGUCCAUCAGCUUACGAGGAGAUUCUCCCUCAUCUCACAAACUACCUGCAUCUCCACUUCCCUGGAAGAAAAAAAAAAUCUGGACAUACCCAAGCUGUGUAUGUGCCUGAGAUCUUCCCUUCCAAGGUAAAGAGAGAGCCUGAGACAGGUCUAAAUUAGCAUCUGGACUUUCUGCUAGUAAAGAAAAGGAAAUAUGGGAAACUAAAUAGUAACAUUAAAGGACCCACAAAGGGACUACUGGGUAAGUGCUAUAAUGGAUAAUGUAAUGUGAUUUAUGAAUGCUUUUGUUCUAGUGAUUUAUUAAACUGGGAAGUCAGAAGCA
ensembl:lncRNA long intergenic non-protein coding RNA 1617